rnacentral:rRNA from 1 species
GAUGAACGCUGGCGGCGUGCUUAACACAUGCAAGUCGAACGGGAAACCUUUUAUUGAAGCUUCGGCAGAUUUAGCUGGUUUCUAGUGGCGGACGGGUGAGUAACGCGUGGGUAACCUGCCCUAUACAGGGGGAUAACAACCAGAAAUGGUUGCUAAUACCGCAUCAUCGCACAGGGCCGCAUGGUCCGGUGUGAAAAACUCCGGUGGUAUAGGAUGGACCCGCGUUGGAUUAGCCAGUUGGCAGGGUAACGGCCUACCAAAGCGACGAUCCAUAGCCGGCCUGAGAGGGUGAACGGCCACAUUGGGACUGAGACACGGCCCAGACUCCUACGGGAGGCAGCAGUGGGGAAUAUUGCACAAUGGGGGAAACCCUGAUGCAGCGACGCCGCGUGAAGGAAGAAGUAUCUCGGUAUGUAAACUUCUAUCAGCAGGGAAGAUAGUGACGGUACCUGACUAAGAAGCCCCGGCUAACUACGUG